AAUCAACGCUGGCGGCGUGCCUCAGACAUGCAAGUCGAACGCGAAAGUCCCCUUCGGGGGACAAGUAGAGUGGCGCACGGGUGAGUAACACGUAGGUAAUCUACCUUCGGAUGGGGAAUAACAACCGGAAACGGUUGCUAAUACCGCAUAAUGCAGCGGCACCUAAUGGUGACAGUUGUUAAAGCGGGGGAUCGAAAGACCUCGCGUCUGAAGAGGAGCCUGCGGCGGAUUAGCAGUUGGUAGGUAAUGGCUUACCAAGGCGACGAUCCGUAGCCGGCCUGAGAGGGCGGUCGGCCACACUGGGACUGAGACACGGCCCAGACUCCUAC
rnacentral:rRNA from 1 species